rnacentral:lncRNA from 1 species
GCAAAGAAAACCAAGACAAAGAUCCUUAAGAUCCAGGGAGAAGACUUCAGCCCUGGGUCUCUAAGAUGGACAUCAGCCACUGCACUGGACAGAUUUCUUAACUGAGGAUCAGCUGGGCUUUACAGCAUGUCCACAUAGACAGAGGAAACACCAAGCCCUGAAAUCAUUUUGUGGGAGGUGAGAGGAGCUGGAGAUCGCAGGAGGCAAAGGUUUACUGCUCUAUCAAAAUGCCACCAGCUGUGUCAGACAUCUGAGAUCAUCUUUGGUGCUCAAGUGAAUUUCCAAGAAGUAUCACCAAUCCAUGAGCCCGAGGCGAGGUAGACUGUGCCAGUUAUAGAAUCCUGUGUCUAGUAGCACCUAGCUCCUAGAAGACAGAGCCUGCUUUAUUUUUAUCUUUGUAUCUCUAGUAGCUGGCCUGAAAUAAGAGCAUAAUAGAUGUGUAUUGAAUUAAAAUGAAUUAGGG